rnacentral:rRNA from 1 species
GAUGAACGCUGGCGGCGUGCCUAAUACAUGCAAGUCGAGCGAAUGGAUUAAGAGCUUGCUCUUAUGAAGUUAGCGGCGGACGGGUGAGUAACACGUGGGUAACCUGCCCAUAAGACUGGGAUAACUCCGGGAAACCGGGGCUAAUGCCGGAUAACAUUUUGAACCGCAUGGUUCGAAAUUGAAAGGCGGCUUCGGCUGUCAAUUAUGGAUGGACCCGCGUCGCAUUAGCCAGUUGGUGAGGUAACGGCUCACCAAGGCAACGAUGCGUAGCCGACCUGAGAGGGUGAUCGGCCACACUGGGACUGAGACACGGCCCAGACUCCUACGGGAGGCAGCAGUAGGGAAUCUUCCGCAAUGGACGAAAGUCUGACGGAGCAACGCCGCGUGAGUGAUCAAGGCUUUCGGGUCGUAAAACUCUGUUGUUAGGGAAGAACAAGUGCUAGUUGAAUAAGCUGGCACCUUGACGGUACCUAACCAGAAAGCCACGGCUAACUACGUGCCAGCCGCCGCAGUAA